CCUACGGGUGGCAGCAGUAGGGAAUCUUCGGCAAUGGACGCAAGUCUGACCGAGCAACGCCGCGUGAGUGAGGAAGGUCUUCGGAUUGUAAAACUCUGUUGCCAAGGAAGAAGACUGGUGAGAGUAACUGCUCAUCAGGUGACGGUACUUGAGAAGAAAGCCCCGGCUAACUACGUGCCAGCAGCCGCGGUAAUACGUAGGGGGCAAGCGUUGUCCGGAAUUAUUGGGCGUAAAGCGCGCGCAGGCGGUCAUUUAAGUCUGGUGUAUAACCAUUCGGCUCAACCGGAUGUGGCAUUGGAAACUGGGUGACUGGAGUGUAGGAGAGGAAAGUGGAAUUCCACGUGUAGCGGUGAAAUGCGUAGAGAUGUGGAGGAACACCAGUGGCGAAGGCGACUUUCUGGCCUAUAACUGACGCUGAGGCGCGAAAGCGUGGGGAGCAAACAGGAUUAGAUACCCCAGUAGUC
rnacentral:rRNA from 1 species